rnacentral:rRNA from 1 species
AGAGAAGCGCAAACGGUGGAUGCCUUGGCAGUAAGAGGCGAAGAAGGACGUGGAAUCCUGCGAAAAGCUAUGGGGAGCUGGAAACGAGCGUUGAGCCAUAGAUGUCCGAAUGGGGGAACCCGGCUGCAGCGAUGCGGUCAUUUGCAUUUGAAUACAUAGGAUGCAAAGGCGAACUCGGGGAACUGAAACAUCUAAGUACCCGAAGGAAAAGAAAUCAAGAGAGAUUCUCCAAGUAGCGGCGAGCGAACGGGGAGGAGCCUGGCGUGAUUUAUUAUUGAACUGAGUAGAACAAUUUGGGAAAGUUGGCCGUAGAGGGUGAAAGCCCCGUAUACGAAGGUUUGAUGAGGAACUAGGCACGCGAACAAGUAGGCCGGGACACGUGAAAUCCUGGUUGAAGAUGGGUGGACCAUCAUCCAAGGCUAAAUACUACUUACUGACCGAUAGUGAACCAGUACCGUGAGGGAAAGGUGAAAAGAACCCCGGAGAGGGGAGUGAAAUAGAAUCUGAAACCGUUUGCGUACAAGCAGUGGGAGCAUAGUUUAGGCUGUGUGACUGCGUACCUUUUGUAUAAUGGGUCAGCGAGUUACUUUCAGUGGCGAGGUUAACUGAAUAAGGGAGCCGUAGAGAAAUCGAGUCUGAAUAGGGCGAUAGUCGCUGGGAGUAGACCCGAAACCGGGCGAUCUAGCCAUGUGCAGGAUGAAGGUUGGGUAACACCAACUGGAGGUCCGAACCGGGUAAUGUUGAAAAAUUAUCGGAUGACGUGUGGCUAGGAGUGAAAGGCUAAUCAAGCCCGGAGAUAGCUGGUUCUCCCCGAAAGCUAUUUAGGUAGCGCCUCGUGAAUGAUUACUGGGGGUAGAGCACUGUUUCGGCUAGGGGGCUGUCAUGGCUUACCAAACCGAUGCAAACUCCGAAUACCGGCUAAUUGGAUCACG